AAAAAUCGUAACAAGGUCUCCGUUGGUGAACCAGCGGAGGGAUCAUUACCGAGUUUACAACUCCCAAACCCAAUGUGAACGUUACCAAACUGUUGCCUCGGCGGGGUCACGCCCCGGGUGCGUCGCAGCCCCGGAACCAGGCGCCCGCCGGAGGAACCAACCAAACUCUUUCUGUAGUCCCCUCGCGGACGUAUUUCUUACAGCUCUGAGCAAAAAUUCAAAAUGAAUCAAAACUUUCAACAACGGAUCUCUUGGUUCUGGCAUCGAUGAAGAACGCAGCGAAAUGCGAUAAGUAAUGUGAAUUGCAGAAUUCAGUGAAUCAUCGAAUCUUUGAACGCACAUUGCGCCCGCCAGUAUUCUGGCGGGCAUGCCUGUCCGAGCGUCAUUUCAACCCUCGAACCCCUCCGGGGGAUCGGCGUUGGGGAUCGGGACCCCUCACACGGGUGCCGGCCCCGAAAUACAGUGGCGGUCUCGCCGCAGCCUCUCCUGCGCAGUAGUUUGCACAACUCGCACCGGGAGCGCGGCGCGUCCACGUCCGUAAAACACCCAACUUUCUGAAAUGUUGACCUCGGAUCAGGUAGGAAUACCCGCUGAACUUAAGCAUAUCAAUAGGCNGGAAGGAAA
rnacentral:rRNA from 1 species